GGCACAGCGAUCAUGUUUGUUGUGUGCCUGAGGAUGGGGCUGCGGCUGAUCAGGCAGUUGGCGAGGUAACGGCUCACCAAACCUUUGACCAGUACGGGCCAUGAAAGUGGUAGCCCGGAGAUGGGCACUGAGACAGGGGCCCAGGCCCUACGGGGCGCAGCAGGCGCGAAAACUCCACACUGUACGCAAGUACGAUGGGGUUAUCUCGAGUGCAGUCCGAUAAGGGCUGCUUUUCCAUAGAGUAAUAUCCUGUGGGAAUAAGAGGGGGGCAAGACUGGUGUCAGCCGCCGCGGUAACACCAGCCCCUCGAGUGGUGGGGACUUUUAUUUGGCCUAAAGCGUCCGUAGCUGGCUGUAUCCGUCCCCCGUUAAAUCCAGCGUCCUAAACGUUGGACUGCGGGUGAUACCAUACAGCUAGAGGGUGGGAUAGGUGAGCGGUAUUUCUGGGGUAGGGGCGAAAUCCUUUGAUCCCAGGAGGACCACCAGUGGCGAAGGCUGCUUACUAGAACACGCCUGACGGUCAGGGACGAAAGCUGGGGCAGCGAACCGGAUUAGAUACCCGGGUAGUCCCAGCUGUAAACGAUGCUAGCUAGGUGUUGGGUCGGCCACGCGCCGCCCCAGUGCCGCAGGGAAGCCGUUAAGCUAGCCGCCUGGGGAGUACGGCCGCAAGGCUGAAACUU
rnacentral:rRNA from 1 species